AAAACCAAAUGCGCAUCACUUCUUGCACAUGGUAUUGUGUAUCCGCAAUGCAUUAAAGGAUCCCCAGUGGAAAGUGAAUGCAGAUAUGAUGAAUUUUUCUAUCUCUAUGGGUACGAAGUUCGAUAAGUACUGGAAGGAGGUCAACUAAAGUAAUGCACUUGUAAUCGCCACAAUACUAGAUCCAAGGAAAAAGGAAGAGUACCUAAACUUCUUUUUGAAAAGUAUUGUGAGCAGCCCUUUGACACUGAGGAGACCGUGAAUGUUAUAAGCAAAGCGGUCAGGUUGUACUAUGAUCUAUACGAACAACAGAUCAAGCUAAGAAGCAACGAGCACUCGGUGUCUCGUGAAGCCCGGAUUAAUAUGGGCUCACCUGUUCUUGGUGAAAGGAAACUUGAAGAAGAGUUUGCUCAGUACUGGUCAAGGAGGAGAGCCAACACACAACCAUGGUCAGAGUUGGACGCAUACGUGGAUGAGGUUUUCAUUGAAAGCUCAGCUGGAACUACUGAUAUAGUCACAUGGUGGAAAUCAAAUGCCGAAAAAUACCCGGUGCUCUCAGCUAUGGCUCGUGAUUUUCUUGCAGUGCCUCUUAGUAUUGUGUCAUCCGAGUCAGCAUUUAGUUGCGGUGGAAGAAUUCUAGGAGAUACACGGGCCUCACUAAAACCACAUGCACUGGAAGCUUUAGUUUGCGGAAAGGACUGACUUCUUAAAGUCCCGAGCAAUGAAGGUUCAAGCACGGGAGGUCCAAGCUCGGAGGUCCAAGUUCAGGAGUUGGAUGGUCAGAUUGUCUAAUCUAAAGGACUUGAAUUCUCUCAAGAGCAUGGCUGGGGAGACUGGAAGAAGUUGGCAUCUGAGUCAUCCAUGACUGUCGAACUGUAAUGCUAUUUGGGCGACCACCGUGGGAGACCUCUAACCAUGAGCGGAGCAGUAGUGGCGGACUGCCGAUAAGCUUGGGUUAAUUAUUUUUCUGGCUUGGACCCUGCGUGUAUCUGACAAGAACUAUUCUGUGACAUGAUUGUUAUGGUGUUUAGCCUC